rnacentral:rRNA from 1 species
GCUAUCUGAAGUCGAGCGGACGACGGGAGCUUGCUCCCUUAGGUCAGCGGCGGACGGGUGAGUAACACGUGGGUAACCUGCCUGUAAGACUGGGAUAACUCCGGGAAACCGGGGCUAAUACCGGAUGCUUGAUUGAACCGCAUGGUUCAAUCAUAAAAGGUGGCUUUUAGCUACCACUUGCAGAUGGACCCGCGGCGCAUUAGCUAGUUGGUGAGGUAACGGCUCACCAAGGCGACGAUGCGUAGCCGACCUGAGAGGGUGAUCGGCCACACUGGGACUGAGACACGGCCCAGACUCCUACGGGAGGCAGCAGUAGGGAAUCUUCCGCAAUGGACGAAAGUCUGACGGAGCAACGCCGCGUGAGUGAUGAAGGUUUUCGGAUCGUAAAACUCUGUUGUUAGGGAAGAACAAGUACCGUUCGAAUAGGGCGGCACCUUGACGGUACCUAACCAGAAAGCCACGGCUAACUACGUGCCAGCAGCCGCGGUAAUACGUAGGUGGCAAAGCGUUGUCCGGAAUUAUUGGGCGUAAAGCGCGCGCAGGCGGUUUCUUAAGUCUGAUGUGAAAGCCCCCGGCUCAACCGGGGAGGGUCAUUGGAAACUGGGGAACUUGAGUGCAGAAGAGGAGAGUGGAAUUCCACGUGUAGCGGUGAAAUGCGUAGAGAUGUGGAGGAACACCAGUGGCGAAGGCGACUCUCUGGUCUGUAACUGACGCUGAGGCGCGAAAGCGUGGGGAGCGAACAGGAUUAGAUACCCUGGUAGUCCACGCCGUAAACGAUGAGUGCUAAGUGUUAGAGGGUUUCCGCCCUUUAGUGCUGCAGCAAACGCAUUAAGCACUCCGCCUGGGGAGUACGGUCGCAAGACUGAAACUCAAAGGAAUUGACGGGGGCCCGCACAAGCGGUGGAGCAUGUGGUUUAAUUGGAAGCAACGCGAAGAACCUUACCAGGUCCUGACAUCCAUCUGACAA